GUGCUUGCUUCGGCAGCACAUAUACAAAAUUGGAACGAUACAGAGAAGAUUAGCAUGGCCCCUGUGCAAGGAUGACACGCAAAAAAAGAAAAAGAAGAUAUACUUUG